rnacentral:rRNA from 1 species
CCCUUAGAUGUUCUGGGCCGCACACGCGCUACACUGAAGGAGGCAGCGUGUACUCCUGGAUCGAAAGAUUUGGGUAACCCGCGAAUCUCCUUCGUGCUAGGGAUUGAGGUUUGCAAUUAUCCUUCAUGAACGAGGAAUUCCCAGUAAGUGCAAGUCAUAAGCUUGCGCUGACUACGUCCCUGCCCUUUGUACACACCGUCCGUCGCUCCUACCGAUUGAAUGGUUUAGUGAGGACUUCGGACUGGGACCGAUGCGGCUUUCGGGCUGCGUCGGUAUUCUGGAAAGAUGUCCAAACUGUAUCAUUUAGAGGAAGUAAAAGUCGUANCA